GCUUAGCCCUAAACUCAGAUAUUUAACGUACAAGAAUAUCCGCCAGAGAACUACGAGCAAAACGCUUAAAACUCAAAGGACUUGGCGGUACCUCAAACCCCCCUAGAGGAGCCUGUUCUAUAAUCGAUAACCCACGAUACACCUCACCAUCUCUUGCCAAUCCCGCCUAUAUACCACCGUCACCAGCCUACCCCUUGAGGGAUCUAAUAGUAAGCAAGAUAGCCAAAGACAGCUAAAAAGUCAGGUCAAGGUGUAGCUAAUUGAGAUGGAAGAAAUGGGCUACAUUUUCUACGCUAGAAAUAAAUUUACGGAAAGAAUUAUGAAAUUAAUUCUAUAAGCAGGAUUUAGCAGUAAACCUGGAUCAGAGUACCUAGUUUAAGUUGGUCCUGAGGUGCGC
rnacentral:rRNA from 1 species